rnacentral:rRNA from 1 species
UGCCUACGGGAGGCAGCAGUGGGGAAUAUUGGGCAAUGGGCGCAAGCCUGACCCAGCAACGCCGCGUGGAGGAAGAAGGCUUUCGGGUUGUAAACUUCUUUUCUUGGGGACGAAGAAAGUGACGGUACCCAAGGAAUAAGCCACGGCUAACUACGUGCCAGCAGCCGCGGUAAUACGUAGGUGGCAAGCGUUAUCCGGAUUUAUUGGGUUUAAAGGGUGCGUAGGCGGUCUGUUAAGUCAGCGGUAAAAUUGCGGGGCUCAACCCCGUCGAGCCGUUGAAACUGGCAGACUUGAGUUGGCG